rnacentral:rRNA from 1 species
CGGGUGAGUAAUGUAUGGGGAUCUGCCUGAUGGCGGGGGAUAACUACUGGAAACGGUAGCUAAUACCGCAUAAUGUCUACGGACCAAAGCGGGGGACCUCCGGGCCUCGCGCCAUCAGAUGAACUCAUAUGGGAUUAGCUUGUAGGUAAGGUAACGGCUUACCUAGGCGACGAUCCCUAGCUGGUCUGAGAGGAUGAUCAGCCACACUGGGACUGAGACACGGCCCAG